rnacentral:rRNA from 1 species
UGCCUACCGGCUUACCAACGGAAAUCAAACUCCGAAUACCAAGAGCGAGUCCGGGAGAUAGACAGCGGGGGCUAAGCUUCGUUGUCGAGAGGGGAACAGCCCAGACCGCCGAUUAAGGUCCCUAAUUUUAUGCUAAGUGAGUAAGGAAGUGAUGAUUCUAAGACAGUUGGAAUGUUGGCUUAGAGGCAGCAAUCAUUUAAAGAGUGCGUAACAGCUCACCAAUCGAGAAUCAUUGCGCCA